GACGAACGCUGGCGGCGUGCUUAACACAUGCAAGUCGAACGAUGAACCACUUCGGUGGGGAUUAGUGGCGAACGGGUGAGUAACACGUGGGCAAUCUGCCCUUCACUCUGGGACAAGCCCUGGAAACGGGGUCUAAUACCGGAUACCACUCUCGCGGGCAUCUGCGAGGGUUGAAAGCUCCGGCGGUGAAGGAUGAGCCCGCGGCCUAUCAGCUUGUUGGUGAGGUAACGGCUCACCAAGGCAACGAUCGGUAUCCGGCCUGAGAGGGCGGACGGACACACUGGGACUGAGACACGGCCCAGACUCCUACGGGAGGCAGCAGUGGGGAAUUGUUCGCAAUGGGCGCAAGCCUGACGACGCAACGCCGCGUGGAGGACGAAGAUUUUCGGAUCGUAAACUCCUUUCGAUCGGGAAGAACAGCUUUCGGGAUAACACCCUGGGAGUCUGACGGUACCGGGAGAAGAAGCCCCGGCUAACUCUGU
rnacentral:rRNA from 1 species